ACUCCUACGGGAGGCAGCAGUGGGGAAUAUUGCACAAUGGGCGCAAGCCUGAUGCAGCCAUGCCGCGUGUAUGAAGAAGGCCUUCGGGUUGUAAAGUACUUUCAGUGGGGAGGAAGGCGAUGAGGUUAAUAACCUCGUCGAUUGACGUUACCCGCAGAAGAAGCACCGGCUAACUCCGUGCCAGCAGCCGCGGUAAUACGGAGGGUGCA
rnacentral:rRNA from 1 species